UAUACAAUAUGUAUAUUACGUUGCGUCAAACCUCUGUAGAAUUCCCUUUGACAUCACAACGAUGGCGAGGAUGUCCUCAUCGUUUCCGUGCAGCACACUCCCCUCCCCCACAACCAAAGCACAGCUCAUCGCGCAUGCGCACUAGUCUCACCGCAUCGGCUGCUUUUUCAGAGGCGCAGCAAAAGCACAGCCUUGUUCUUUUAUUCAUCUUAUUUUAUUUUUGUAUUCCUUCCUCUCUCUUAGGCCGGCGCAAAGUUGGCCGAGGAGCAUCUCAAAAAGUCGGUUGCGUCAAGGCGGAGGUGCUCGGGGCAGGACACAGCAAGAAAAUGUUCAAAGUCAGCAAAAGCAGUGAGUUCAAAGAGGCAAAGAGUGAACACUCACCUUGUCAAAGUUAGCGAUGAUGUUGCGGGGAUGCAGGUGGACGACGACGACGACCCGAGUCUGGCAGAGGGCCGCUGUCUUGCUUGUUUUCCAGCUCUCUCGAGAGCAACGUGGCUGAUUGGAAUCAUCAGGAUCGUUCUAAUUGCUGCUUCAGAGCCGGUUGAGGAGCUGACCAUCUGAAUCAGGUGCGUUGCUGCCGGCCGGGUGAGCUGCAAAACAGGCAGGAUCGUGGCCCUCCGGGCCCGGAGCUGCGACGUGUGUAUGCGUGACUGUGAGUGUGUUAGCUCAAGGAGAAAAGACGCCGACAGCAAAACUUGUUCUGGAUGAAGACUUAUUUUAUCAAACAAUGUGCUGCAUACAAUUCAAUUUUGAUUUCAUUUUUUUGCAAUAAACAAUUGGACAAAA